AAACUUAGUGGCGGACGGGUGAGGAACACGUAGGUAACCUACCCUCGGGCGGGGGACAACCCAGGGAAACUUGGGCUAAUACCGCAUAAGCCCACGGACUGAGAUGUCAGUGGGAAAAGUGGCAACACACCUGAGGAUGGGCCUGCGGCCUAUCAGGUAGUUGGUGGGGUAACGGCUCACCAAGCCAAAGACGGGUAGCCGGACUGAGAGGUUGAACGGCCACACUGGAACUGAGACACGGUCCAGACUCCUACGGGAGGCAGCAGUGGGGAAUCUUGCGCAAUGGGGGAAACCCUGACGCAGCGACGCCGCGUGGAGGAUGAAGGCCUUCGGGUUGUAAACUCCUUUUCUUGGGGAAAAUGGUGAUGGUACCCAAGGAAUAAGCCACGGCUAACUCUGUGCCAGCAGCCGCGGUAAGACAGAGGUGGCAAGCGUUGUUCGGAAUUACUGGGCUUAAAGGGCGAGUAGGCGGCAGGGCAAGUCUAGGGUGGAAUCCUAUGGCUUAACCAUAGAAUUGCCUUAGAAACUGCUUUGCUUGAGUCAGUGAGGGGAUGGCGGAAUUCCUGGUGUAGCGGUGAAAUGCGUAGAUAUCAGGAGGAAGGCCCGUGGCGAA
rnacentral:rRNA from 1 species